UUUGUGCUAUUUUGAAGAAUUUGCUUAAAACUUCUAUUGAAUGAAAACACCUAGCCUGCCACCAUGAAAAUCAAUAAUACACCUGGUUUCCAGUUUCAAUCUCUAGAAAAGAUGUAAACGUUGUGGGGAAAGAUAAGGAAGAAAAGUAGGCGAAGUCCACAUCAGGAAGAUCUUCAUAUGGAAAGACUUUAAGAUCAAGGAAAAGAAAGCACUGAAGAUGGUGGGAGAAAGCAGCUACAAGCAUUACUAUGUGGAAAACUGCUAAGGAAGCAUAAUAGCUACAUCUGAUUUGGAGCUCUAUCUGAUAAGCAGUAGUCAAGGAGCUGUAAGUAGUAGAAAACAGCAUUUAUAAAUUUGGUCUCUGGCAUUAAGAGAACUGAAUUGAAAUACUGGCUUCAUCACUUACUAGUUACAUGACCUUGAGCUUCAGGUUUCCCAACAAUAAUCUGAAGGUACUUGUAAAGAUUGAAUGAGAUAUUUAAAGUGCUUAAUACAAUGCCUAAGAAUUGUGAUGAAUGUUUACUGCUAUUAAUAGUAAUAUUAAUAUUAUUAGCAGUUACAGUAACUAAAAGAGGAAGUAUAAUGCAAUAGGAGGAGCCUGGCCUUCUAAAUCAGACAGACCUGCCAUGUGUGGUGGCAUACCCCUAUAAUCCCAGCACUCAGGAGGCUGAGACAGGAGGGUCACUGCAAGUUCAAGGCCAGCCUGAACUGCCUAGUGAGACCCUGUCUCAAAAAAACAAACAAAAAAUCAGACAGACCUGCAUUUGAGCUAAAUUCCUUAUCCUUUACCUCAA